UACAGAGACCUCAAGCGUUAUCCGGAAUCAUUGGGCGUAAAGCGUACCGAUAGGUGGUUGUGAUAGUUUUGGGUAAAAGCCAGAAGCUCAACUUCUGAGUUUGCUUAAAAUACUUCACGACUAGAGGGGCAAAUAGGUAACUGGAACGAACGGUGUAGUAGUGAAAUGCGUUGAUAUCAAGUAGAACACCAGUGGCGAAGGCGAAUCUCUGGACAGUUACUGACACUGAGGCACGAAGGCCAGGGGAGCAAACGGG
rnacentral:rRNA from 1 species